rnacentral:snoRNA from 1 species
CUCCUCUCAGGGCCACACCUGGAGAGUUUCAGUAGUCUACCAGUCUUGACUUAAGGAGGGAGAGUCAAGCAGAGGCAUACCCAUUCCAUUCCUAGCUUGGACAAUGGCUAGCUAGUGGAAGGCAAUCUGCUACAAGU